rnacentral:lncRNA from 1 species
GCAGAGCCGACUGCAUAGGAUUCGGCGGGUCGCUGCCUGGGAAGCACCGGGAGGCGGGUGCCUCGUGCAAGGGUGCUCCGGAGAGUCAGCAAGGACCGCUCUCGCCAACGAACACGUGCACGGAGAGGCGACACUGCGAAGCCGUUCCGCACACGCGUCAUCUGGACGUCACUCUGGCCGGGUCCCAUGCAGAAAGGGAAAAGCUGCGGCGAGGACUGAACGAGGUCAUGCGCUUGAUGUCCCAGCAGCGGUGGGCAUCCAGGAAGGGAGGGGAAGAGACGCAGAAACACAUGCAGAGGUGACAGCUGUGUGAUGCUGGAGGCAGAGGCUCCUGGAGUGACUCAGAGGAAGACGAGGCACACCAAAGAUGUCCGGCUGACCCUGCAAGCUGGGAGGAGGCAGGAGAGAUUUCACGCAGAGUCUCAGAGGAGCAGAGCUCUGUCGACGCCUGGGUUCAGACUUCCAGCCUCCAGAACUUGAGCGAAUAUGUGUGUGCUGUGUGAAGCCCCCAGUCUGGGACACUCUGCUGCAGGGGCCCCGCAAAUGAAUACGGGGCGAGUCCCCUAACUCCUCACCUUGCAGGCGGACCGCCUGAGGCUCCAGAAGGGGCAGGGGCUCACCUGAGGUCCCAAGCAAGUGGGAGGCGGAGGCGAGACUUGAAUCACGGUCCCGCUGACUCGGAGGCCAGUGCUCACCUCACACUGUAACUCCUUCCCCGAGUGUGUGGCAGCCUGGGCUGGUGCCGCCGUGCUCCCAUCUGGACAGGGACUACGUCUGGCUCAACACCUGGGCAGCAGGUGCAAGCCGAGCCGCGGGGGGCUCGGGUGUAGGAUGCUCCAGAAACCAAGGUGGGAAAAAGUGCAUGUGGUGCGGGAGGAAGGGGAGAGAGACGGAGAAAAGCGAUUAACACUGACUGGGCUGAGUGCCGGGUCUUCUGCACAUCAUCUCAUUUACAUCCCACAACAACCUUUUGGCGUAAGUAUCAUUAUCCUCAUUUUUCAGAUGGAAAACUGAGUUUCAGAGAAGCUAAGUGACCCUCCCAUAAACUGUACAGCUGGAGAUUUGAAGCCAC